rnacentral:lncRNA from 1 species
UCCUGCUUUAUGGCGAAGGACGGAGUUUUGCUCUUGUUGCCCAAGCUGGAGUGCAAUGGUGCGAUCUUCGCUUACUGCAACCUCUGCUUCCUGGGUUCAAGUGAUUCCCCUGCCUCAGCCUCCCGAGUAGCAGGGAUUACAGGUGCGUGCUACCAUGCCAGGCUAAUUUUUUGUAUCUUUAGUAGAGACAGGAGUUUCACCAUGUUGGCCAGGCUAGUCUUAAACUCCUGACCUCAUGAUCUGCCUGGCUUGACCUCCCAAAGUGUUGGGAUUACAGGCAUGAGCCGUUGCACCUGGCCAGGGUGUGUCUUAUUGAAAUUGAACAAAAUACCUAAUUUCUAGAGCGUAUAAGAGAAGUUUAAAAUGCUUUAUGGAUGUGUUGUUUUGACAGCAAAAUAUCUACUCAGAAUCCUAUAGCUAUUUCAAAAUCCAAGUAACUUAGAAAAAAAGGAAAAAGAAAA